AUUGAACGCUGGCGGCAUGCUUUACACAUGCAAGUCGAACGGUAACAGGUUAAGCUGACGAGUGGCGAACGGGUGAGUAAUGCAUCGGAACGUGCCCGGUCGUGGGGGAUAACGCAGCGAAAGCUGCGCUAAUACCGCAUACGAUCUAAGGAUGAAAGCGGGGGACCGUAAGGCCUCGCGCGAUCGGAGCGGCCGAUGUCAGAUUAGGUAGUUGGUGGGGUAAAGGCUCACCAAGCCAACGAUCUGUAGCUGGUCUGAGAGGACGACCAGCCACACUGGGACUGAGACACGGCCCAGACUCCUACGGGAGGCAGCAGUGGGGAAUUGUGGACAAUGGGCGAAAGCCUGAUCCAGCAAUGCCGCGUGCAGGAAGAAGGCCUUCGGGUUGUAAACUGCUUUUGUACGGAGCGAAAAGGUCUCCUCUAAUACAGGGGGCUCAUGACGGUACCGUAAGAAUAAGCACCGGCUACUACGUGCCAGCCGCCGCGGUAA
rnacentral:rRNA from 1 species